UUGGCCAUGAGUGAUGUGUGGGCACACUGAUUUGGAUUGUCAGACGUUGAUAUUCACCAGAUUGGUUCAGUGACUACUCAGUUUUUUUUUUGCAAGCAAGCCAAAUACUGAGUACAUUAUACCAUGAGCAAGCCUACAUGUUUUUUUAGGUGUAUGUAUAGCUCUGACAAAAGAGCUAAACAAGUGAAAGCAAUGUCACGCGAGAAUAUACUUUAGGAGAGAAAAAAGUGCCCCAUGCAGAUACUGAAAUGCUCGUAGGAAUGUUAAAACAAGGUACUGAAGAAACAAAAGAAGAAGAAGAAAAACAUAUUUUCCACCCACCAUUCAGAACCAGAGCCUACACUAGCUCCAAAACUAUACAAUAUACAGUACAAUUUUUGCCUAAUUGUCUGGACUUUGUCGAGACACAAAGAAAGGCCCGGAACAUGCAUCCCGUUUCGCUGGCUCCUGACGCAUACACCAACAGGUGUUCAGUUAUCUCUUUUUUUUUUACUUUCUUUUCUUUAUCAUGAAAGAAGAAACACAGGUGUAUGUAUGUAUUGGCAGUUGCAGAAAUGGCUUUGGUCUUCCUUAAUUAAUUUGAUAGGCAACGUCUGCGUGUGCGUGGCUCCAAAUUUCUUCUGACGGACACACAGACAGGCUGAUUUUAUUCUAUGCAUAUCCUCUCCAGCCUUUUUCAGCGUGGCUGUAUUCUAUUGUAGGUUUGUCGAUGGAUCCAUCGAGCUUAUCCUAAAACAAUAAGAAAGAAAGGAAAAUUUUGAAUGGGAGGGGAAAAAGAUUUCGUCCAUGUGCACUAGAGAUGCCACUUUGUGAAAAUCGCUGUGUUUUGGAAUUUUUUAAGGCAGCUGGUUAAUUGUAGUCGUAUCCAUGGAUUGCUUUGGCUGUUUUUACUUUCAUUUUCUGAAACUCUUUUGCCUUUUUCAUUGCUGGUUAUACAA
rnacentral:lncRNA from 1 species